GCGGGAGUGGUGGAACGGUAGACACGCUGGCCUUAGGAGCCAGUCAGGGUGACCUGGUGGGGGUUCGAGUCCCCCUUCCCGCACCA
rnacentral:tRNA from 1 species